rnacentral:piRNA from 1 species
GGAAGUUCUGAACAUCACAGCCUUAGGUGGU